ensembl:lncRNA
CUCUACCUCCCGCGGCUGGCUGGGGCGACCCCUCGAGCGGCGGCCGCCUCGGCGUGCGCCCCGGGUCUCCCCAAGUGUUUGCAAACUGCUGAGCCCGGAGGUGGGCGCGCGGGACUCGAGGGAGAGGGCUGGGCUUCUAGGGGGGCGAUUAUGUGUGUUUGGACGCUGGGACCCGCGAUGGGGGGGUGGACAGACGUCGACCCAGGAGGAGUUGCAAUCGAGGUUUCUGCUCUCUGGCUUCCUCUCCGGCCGGCGACCCCCUCCCCCCGGCGCCGAGCUGGGGAGGGGAAAACAGGAUUUGAACCGUAUUAGCAUUCGCAUGCCUGGGAAGGUUGCAGCCCUCGCCUGGAACUGGGUGAUGGAAGCUUUUUCUUUCUUUCUGUUUUUAUUUUUGAAGAGGAACAGCCCUGUAAUUGUCCUGAACACAUGCUUCUCUUCUCCACCACCACCCCACCUCUUUCCUCCAGCCACCAGCGACAGAGUCCCCCCCUUUUUUGCAUUUCUUUCCCUUCCCCUUUCUUUAUUAAAGGUCCGGGAGUGGCGGCGGCCAAUCAGCGCGCGGCUUCCAUCUUGUGAGUUCAACUCCGAGGCUCCCGGGCUUGGCGAGGACGCGUUCACAGCCCCCUCUGCCUCUCUUCUCGGGCGGCCAAGGCGAAGGAGCCGCCUGACUGGGGCUUCGUGGCGGUGUAUUUCAUAUUGGGGCUCUUUUCGGGGUUUGUAAUUUGGCCGUGGGUAGGUAAUUGGCUGGAGCUGAGCGGCAGGGCGCGGCAGCCAAUCAGCGCUCGGCUUCUAUAGGGUUUGAGUUAUUAGACGCUGAUCUCAAAACAUCCUUCAUCAGACACCAAGGAGAGGCCAACAGAUGAGGGGAGCCAUUUUUCUGCAAUGGAAUUAAAUGGCCAAGUGGGUUUUUCCUUUGUUGCGAGUGGGGAAUGUUUUUCCUUUGACUCCACCAUCCAGUUCAGGACGCUUGCAUGUGUUGUUUAACAUUUGUCAACAGGCUAAAGGACUCAAAAUUGGAAGAAUGAAGAAGACCUUUUAAAAAGAUCUGGAUUUUUCCUUAUGACUUGGAAUCCAUCUUUGUCUUGUAUAACUAGGUCAUAGCACACCAUUAAUGUCAGCAGUUAACAGUUUUGAAUUCCAAAAAACCUAAUUUUAGGACUAGCGAAAUGGCAGCAACAAAAAAAUGUGUGAGCAGUCGUUACUCUUAAGUUUCUAAAAACCUUUUACAUUAGCAGUAAACAGUCCUCAGCGAAGCCGCCUUUUUGCCAACCCAACUCUGGAAAGGUUGCAGACGUGGAAGGAGCAGAAAAAUGCCAUAAGAGUGUAACUUACUAAAAGGUUCUUGGCUGGAGAAGGGGCAACAACCGGUUACCCGCGGAGUGGACAACCCUUCCUUCCCUUGGACAGCAGGAGCAGGCCUAGUUUGACAAUCCUCCCGUCAAAGGACCCUGGGGGUGGAGAUGGCUGCCGCUGCUCGGACCAAGGAGAGAGGCGUCCAAACGUUGUGGAGUCACCUACCCUGUGCGUUCUCCAGCUGCCUGUGACCCCCCAGCAACCCCUGCCCGCGGGACUGGAGCAGAGAACUGGGUGUAACCUUGUGAGCCGUUCCAAAGUGUUGAAAAGAUAGGAUCCUGCCUUGUUGCCCGAACUCCUGGCUUCCACUUCUGCGUCAGCCCCAGUACCUGUGACCGCAGGUGGCGAGCGGCUGGGUGCGGGCAGUGCUUUGUGCUGUGGAAAGUCACUGCCCUCCAGUGCUGGUGGCCGCUGGGGCUUGCAGAGACCUGCGGCCAGGUGCCAGGUACCUUGGCAGAUAAGUGGCCUGGUCGCCAUUUCCUCCCUCGGGGCCCUUGGGUGUCCAGGCUCCUUCCUGGGCCUGGGGUUUUUAUCUCUCACCAGCCGGGUGUUAAAUAAUUGAUUUAUGGUUUCCAACGCCCCGGAAGUGGGCGUCAUCAGCCCCCACCUGGCUUGUGGUAGCUGGACUUUGCCCAUUUCUCUCCAGGCUCAGAGUCCCCGUUGGCCUCCCUGUGGCAGGGUAAUCACACAUGAGCUCGCCCCACAAAAGCUACCUGGUAUCUCCCCGACCUUCCUGGGGCCCAGCAGAUCUUGUGGCAGGAACCAGCUCGCUGUCUCCAGGACCCCAUUGUGAGCAAGAGGGUGGUGAGGGUCCCGGGACACCUUGCCACUUGGAAGCAGCCUGGGGAGGGCAGGUGUGUCUGGCUCCUGUGCCAGCCACGAGGCCUCCAAGGAAGCACUGAGCAGCUGGCUGGGCUCCUGGGUAUUUUUAGCUACAGAUUCAGCCUCACCAUCACCAUGAGAGCUGGGUCCAUAUCAAACACUGAGGCCAGAGGGGACUGGGACUCUGCCAGACUCCUGGCCGGGCAGGCAGGGUGGGUGGGGCAGUUGCAGCUGUUCUGCCUGCUCCCAGGCAGGGCUGUGCUUUUGCUUGUUCUCUGCAGCUUGUUGUCACAGAUAGUAGAGCACCUAGCCCCAUUUCUCAGGUGGACAAAAUAGACUGAGGUCUGGGGGCUUUUUUUCCUUUGAAGUUGACAGUCUUGCUAUGUAGUUCAGGCUGGCCUUGAACCAUGUACCCCAGGUUGGCCUGGAACUCCAUGGUAGUCCUCCUGUCUCAGCCUCCUGAGUGCUGGGUUUACAGGCAUGUGCCACCUGGCAGUCCAAGGAUGUUGAGGAAAGGCAGGCACCCACCCACAGACCAUUGUGGUGAACCAGGCUUCUUGAGCCUUCUCAGGAAGUUCUGCCCAGGCCCCUUGCCGGUUGGACAGCCUCCCUCCCUCCCUGAGCUUCAGGUCCUGGGUGCAGGGCUCGAGGCUAGCUGCAAAGGUAAGUGGUUCUCACUUAAUCCCAAACCCACGCUGAGUGCCCCUUUGCCGGGCUGUGGUCCUACACUGUUCGGAUCUCCAUCAGACUGGUGCCCCUAACACUUCGAGCUCUGGGCAGGCAGGAACGCAGUUGCUUCUCAAUAAACAUGUUGCAAAAAAGGAACAGAUGAGUUGGAUGUGUAUUUAUUUAUCGAUGGAGCCCUUGACCUAGAAGAUCCUCCAUCCAGCGACAGGAGAGGGUGCCCACCUAAGAACCUGGCCUCCUUCCAGAUCGGCUGUUGUCUAUGGGUUUCCGCGGGCGGUCACUGCUGCUCUCUGGCGGCCACACUUCGUCUUGCACCUGCUGGAGAAAACAACUUGGCAUUUACAAAACUGCCAGGUUGGCAGUUUCUCUACAAAGUGAAAUCUGCUUGACUUUUGCUGAGACCUUGAAAAUGGAGUCUUUGGGGUCAAGAGCACGAAGCUCUUGGGUCCUGACAACCACCACCAUGCUGCCGGCAGGGUUUUAUUAGAAAUGAGCUUUACUUACCCCAGCCAGGAGGCUGCACUCAUCAGCCCAUGCCAUGGUGCCUACCUGCUGCGCCUAGGCUCCAGGGAUCCCUCUGCCACCACCUGGGCAGGGGACAGUCAGCCCGGGGUACCGGAGGGGACAGGACCACGAGUGAGCUCAGCAACUCCCUGCAUGGAGUGAGCGAAACCAGGAGCUGUUGGGGGAGGGUGUGCUCCUAAGAUAAAAGUCGCAGGCCUGGAAUUUCAGGGCGGGGUGGGAUUACCAUUACCCCCAGGGCGCGUGCAGGGGACCAGCGGACCAGCUGAUCUCCCUACCCCUCCCCGAUGGUGUCUCGCUAAAUUCCUGCCUCCGGCCCCGACUCAAGGAUGCCGCUACCCACGUGGUUAGUGGUUUGGGG